GAGCGGCGGACGGGUGAGUAAUACUUAGGAAUCUACCUAGUAGUGGGGGAUAGCUCGGGGAAACUCGAAUUAAUACCGCAUACGACCUACGGGAGAAAGGGGGCAACUUGUUGCUCUCGCUAUUAGAUGAGCCUAAGUCGGAUUAGCUAGAUGGUGGGGUAAAGGCCUACCAUGGCGACGAUCUGUAGCUGGUCUGAGAGGAUGAUCAGCCACACCGGGACUGAGACACGGCCCGGACUCCUACGGGAGGCAGCAGUGGGGAAUAUUGGACAAUGGGGGAAACCCUGAUCCAGCCAUGCCGCGUGUGUGAAGAAGGCCUUUUGGUUGUAAAGCACUUUAAGCAGUGAAGAAGACUCUUCGGUUAAUACCCGGAGACGAUGACAUUAGCUGCAGAAUAAGCACCGGCUAACUCUGUGCCAGCAGCCGCGGUAAUACAGAGGGUGCAAGCGUUAAUCGGAAUUACUGGGCGUAAAGGGAGCGUAAGUGGCUCGAUAAGUCAGAUGUUAAAUCCCGGGCUCAACCUGGGAACUGCAUCUUGAUACUUGUUGAGCUAAAAUAUUUUGAGAGGAAGGUAGAAUUCCAAGGUGUUACCGGUUGAA
rnacentral:rRNA from 1 species